rnacentral:sRNA from 1 species
UUUUUUUUUGAUUUUUUUUUAUUUCGCUUGGUAGAUGUUAUAGUGUUACUUUAAGCUUUCUUUGAUUUUCUAAAAACAAAA